GGUAGCUAAAUGCGGAAGAGAUAAGUGCUGAAAGCAUCUAAGCACGAAACUUGCCCCGAGAUGAGUUCUCCCUGAGACUUUAAGUCUCCUGAAGGAACGUUGAAGACGACGACGUUGAUAGGCCGGGUGUGUAAGCGCAGCGAUGCGUUGAGCUAACCGGUACUAAUGAACCGUGAGGCUUAACCUUACAACGCCGAAG
rnacentral:rRNA from 1 species